GACGAACGCUGGCGGCGUGCCUAAUACAUGCAAGUAGAACGCUGAAGGAGGAGCUUGCUUCUCUGGAUGAGUUGCGAACGGGUGAGUAACGCGUAGGUAACCUGCCUGGUAGCGGGGGAUAACUAUUGGAAACGAUAGCUAAUACCGCAUAAUAGUAGAUGUUGCAUGACAUUUGCUUAAAAGGUGCAAUUGCAUCACUACCAGAUGGACCUGCGUUGUAUUAGCUAGUUGGUGGGGUAACGGCUCACCAAGGCGACGAUACAUAGCCGACCUGAGAGGGUGAUCGGCCACACUGGGACUGAGACACGGCCCAGACUCCUACGGGAGGCAGCAGUAGGGAAUCUUCGGCAAUAGACGGAAGUCUGACCGAGCAACGCCGCGGGAGUGAAGAAGGUUUUCGGAUCGUAAAGCUCUGUUGUAAGAGAAGAACGAGUGUGAGAGUGGAAAGUUCACACUGUGACGGUAUCUUACCAGAAAGGGACGGCUAACUACGUG
rnacentral:rRNA from 1 species